rnacentral:lncRNA from 1 species
UAAACAAGGACAAGAAGGAAGUGGUCCCUUUUCUCUUGCUCUUCCUUCUGGUCUCUGCUCGAGGAUCACCAUGUAAACCCGGGAAGACAGGACACUUCUGCUGGCGUCUGAUGAGUUCUGAGGUAACAGACAUGCAUCACCAUGCUCAGCAAGCCACGUUCUUCUUAGAGUCAUCAUCAAUGAACUGCACACCGACCUGGUACCCAACAUACAUCUACACUGCCCAGACACUCAGAAAUCUGCACUCUAAGAAGGCCUAGGAACCCUUCAUCUGGAAGCAUGCCUGUCACCCAUGCCAUGCUGGUUUGCAGGCAUGCAGAAUGCAAGAGCUGUGGGGUCAUGGAGACUUCCAGCUAGAUGCAAAGAAAAGCCUAAGAGGUCAAGAAAUGUGUAGCAAUGUCCUAUUUCCUCUGGAAAUGUUUGCUCUGUGCCAUUACAGUUUAGAAGUAGGUUGGUUUCUUUUUGAUGGACAGAGACUCCCUUUGAAUUCCAAGGGAGAUGUUGAACAUGAUUUUUUUUUUUUUUUUGGACUGAGGAUUGAAGCCAUUUCCUCACAAGUCAGGCAAAUGUCCUACCACUUCUCCAGGGAACAGAGGCUUCUUCCUUUUUUUUUUUUUU